UAGCUUUAAACACUUACAUGAUGUGAAAUGUCUUGUAGGUUUCUUCACCUUUGAAUCAUUGCUUCAGCCCCUUUGCGAUUGUCCUUGCAUCAAACAAAAGAAAGGAAAAAUCCACAUGACCAGAGACUGCUGAAAUUGCUCAGAAAUCAAAAGCAGAUACAAUGAAGGAAAAACAAUCCAAGGAAAAUUCUAAAAGCUUAUGUUCAGAUGCAAAGAUCCUCUGUUUCACAGCCUUUGACCGAGUUCUCGUUGUGUUGGGUGUUCUCAGUGAGACCGUCGAAGAUAUUUUUUUGGCCAAGCAGAGAGCAUACUCAGGCUAUCAUCAAUAGCAGAUCUCAUGGUGAACAGGAGUUUCUGCUGCUGCACAUCACAAGGCCAGAUUAUUUCAUGCAAUCAACACCCUUUUCCAUGCUACAAGAAGACAACAGAGAUUCUACAGUUUUGCCUCCUCCUGAAUCCUGCCUAACAUUUGAUGCACUGUUGCUGCAAUCUCGUCCACCGACGUGUGGUGACGAUCAUCUUCCACCUGCGGAUCAAAGCCAGGCGUCGCAGAGAUGAGCACACAAACUCCAUCAGGCUGGCAAAUGGUCCGGCGAGGAGGAAGGAGGUGGAGUCCGGCGUACCUUGAGACUGAAGGAGUACAUGGCCAUCUGGUCGACGGAGGUGACGUUGAGGUGCAGCGGCAGGAGCCGCGAGCUCUGCAGCCCGGCCACCAGCUUGAGCAGCUGCUUCGGCCGCCGCCUCGUGAGCACUUUGAGGUUUGCGUGGCUGUCCACCAUCGUCACCUCGAUGUUUGCGGCGGCUGCUUCGUCGUCUUCGAUCUCCUCGGUGUUUCGGAAGAUACUAUCAUGGUCAAUUAUGCCACUACCGUCUCCGGCGGUGGUGCCGCCACUGGGUGAGUAAGAGGAGUACUGGGGGAAGCUGAAGAAGUCGGCAAAGGCGGCGGCAACGCCGGCUGCAUCCGCUUGUUGCUUGACCCGUUUCUGGACUUCCAGUGAUUGAAGGAGCUGCUCAAGUUCUUUGACAUAGUUGAUCGCGCCGGCGACGAUCGAUGCUUGAUCACCCUAUCAUUCAACAACCAGUGAAUGGUCUUGAUGAGAUUGGAUGCAUUAGUGACGGUGCGGAAGAUGUGAAUGGAUUACCCUUUGGACAUAGGAAGCCGGCAUCAGAGAGCGGAGCACAGCGAGGUAUUCAUUCAUUUGUCGCCGGCGGUUGCGCUCCACGGCAAUGUGGGUCAUCCUCUGGCUCUCCACCUCCUCUUUGUUCUUGAUGCUCUUCGUACGCCGCCUCUUUCUUCGGCCCCCCGGCCCGGCGAGCGCACCGGCUGCUGUCGGCGUCGAGGAAUUCACAUUCCAAUCCUGGAGAUUCCGUGCCAAGGAGGAGCAGGUUGGGUCCCAGGUCCCACCUCCACCUCCACCUCCAGCCAUCUCACAUUCUAACACCAUACUUUUCUCCUCCCAUGCUCCUCCUCCACUUCCGGUGUUGGCGCACCACUCCUUGAAAGCAUAGUUGAAGAGGUCUUGAGGGAAAACCACAGCUUCUAGUGCCAUCUCUCUCACAGAUUCGUUUACACACAGGCACUGCACAUCUGUGUCUCGGUGGGAGGAGGAGGAGGAGGAGGGAAAGGGUGGGGUUUUAAAGGCCCAAAGGUAAGCAAGAAGAAAACAUAUAUAAUUCUGAACUUACCACGUGAGAAGCAGAAGAGGGGAAGUACAUGUUUUCUCUCAUCUCUCAUCCUCCCCCAUCCCUUUUUUAUUUUCUGGUUGAUGGAUGGAUAGGAGAAAGAAAACUCAAAGGGCCACCGUGAGUCAGUGGUUUUGUUUCAUCUGCUGGUAGAUCCAGAACAGGGAGGAAGGGUUAAAAGGGUCCUGGUGAGAUCACAAAUGAGAUGCUGAGAUGGUGAGGGUGAAAGAAUUGAACAGGGUCAGAGAUUCCGCUGGUCUGCAGUGAGAGUGAUGCGAGGUCAGUAGGAUUUAGAGCUCAUGUGAGCUUCUCUCUACCUCCUAGCUUGAGCUGCUCACAACAAUGUCGAUGCUGGCAUCUCUGAUUUCCGAGAACAGUAUUACUGGAGCCGCUGCAAUCAGCGGCACAGCAGUGGUUUCACUAGAAACCAACCUGACAUUGGACAAAACCCACCACGGUGCCAGCUAAAACCAGGAUUAGUACAAGUACAACCUGUGCAUGCCACUUAAUUAAAGGGAGGGGGAGAAGACGAGCUCGGGCCAUGGAUAAUCCCCCCUGUUCACGCGAUUCCAUGGAAGAUCGAUGACACUGCAUCAGCUCUGUCGUUGCUCUCCCUACAAAGCCUACCGGGGAAGAGGAGCAGAAUUGAGGAUGAGUUUUGUAAUGGCCAGUAGGCGUCGUCGUCACCUGAUACCCUGCGCCUACUCGAUUUGCAGCCCCGGACAAGAUUGUAAUCAACCCACUGUGGAGUUGCCGAUGUCGACGACGCACACUGUCGGUGGUCCCGCCCCUGCCGAUUAUUCUCGCCGCGGUCGGAUUAGCUGACCGCCAAGGAUUUAUAAUCCCCCGGACAAGUACAAGAUGUCGCCAUACAGAAUCGCGGGCGGAUCGUGUAGGAUCUGCUGUCGGAUCAUGAUCUGAGGGCCGCCGCCGCCGUCGUCGUCAUCCGCCGAUGAGGCGUGUACUCCUCCUCCUCCUCCUCCUGCUGCAGCUGCUGAGAUGAGAAGACGAAGGCCCACCCCAUCGUUUCAUUUUCAGCAUGCGAGGGCAGAUCUGGAUUCUCAUGCGGAGCUCAUGCAGCAGGUUGAGGCCACGACUCCCUACCCUUGGGUGGGACGAGAGCUUGAUGCACCAAGAACAAGAGCUACCAUGUUUUGUCAUUAUCAUCCCUAAGGAAAAGCUGUUAGGUUUGGACACUGGAGGACGAGGGAGGAAGGGGGGGUGGGGGGUUUUUGUUUCUUUCCCUGUCGAAGCUAUGGCUUCCUCCAAGCCCUAUGUGAUUCGGUGGCUCGUGGUGGUCUCCCCACAGCCAAGCCAACUCCCGUGUCUCUGCCGAGUACUACUAACUCCAGCCUCCGAUUCGAAAUCACGGGAUCGGCUGUCCCCGUCUCAAACAGGAUCGAGCUUCGUAGUGACACGCGGCAGCUUUUGAUUGCAAGA